AAAUUGAAGAGUUUGAUCAUGGCUCAGAUUGAACGCUGGCGGCAGGCCUAACACAUGCAAGUCGAACGGUAGCACAGAGAGCUUGCUCUCGGGUGACGAGUGGCGGACGGGUGAGUAAUGUCUGGGAAACUGCCUGAUGGAGGGGGAUAACUACUGGAAACGGUGGCUAAUACCGCAUAACGUCGCAAGACCAAAGAGGGGGACCUUCGGGCCUCUUGCCAUCAGAUGUGCCCAGAUGGGAUUAGCUUGUUGGUGGGGUAACGGCUCACCAAGGCGACGAUCCCUAGCUGGUCUGAGAGGAUGACCAGCCACACUGGAACUGAGACACGGUCCAGACUCCUACGGGAGGCAGCAGUGGGGAAUAUUGCACAAUGGGCGCAAGCCUGAUGCAGCCAUGCCGCGUGUAUGAAGAAGGCCUUCGGGUUGUAAAGUACUUUCAGCGGGGAGGA
rnacentral:rRNA from 1 species